GUCAGAAUGAAACAGGAAGGGGCAGAAUGUUGCUGAGACCUACCAGCAGUGAUGGUCUAAAUCCACAUCAGUCUUUGAGAUGCCAGUAGCAUUGGUCAUGACUUGAACCUUGAGUUGAACAUGAGAAAGACCGAACUAAUCUGAAAGGGAUUGAUUGAACCAGAAGAAACUGAGACCCAUUUAAGAGGUGUGGUUUUGUUUUAUUCCAUUGGCUGUGUCACACUUCCCUCUGAACCACUAGGAUGUGCCAAUUGGCUUAGAUCAAGAUCUUCUACUUCUCCUCUGCUGGAGGUGGGGUUCACCCCCAAAGAACUUGGACUGAGAGAGGGGAAAUGAUGGUGCCUAUGGUCAGAAUAGUGGCCCCCCAAAUAUGCCAGCAUUCUAAUCCCUGGAACAUCUGGAUGUGUUACCUUCCACAAAGGGACUUUGCAGAUGUGACUGGAUGAAGGGACUUGAGAUGAAGAAAGUAUCCUGGGUUACUCAGGUGGCACUGUCAUCACAGGGUCUUUAGGAGGGAGGCAGGAGGGUUGUAGCAAGAGUUGGAGGUGUGAUGUGGAUGCAGAAGUCAGCACAACAUGGUUGCUGGCUAGGGGCCACCAGACCAGGCAUGCAGGCUGCCUGGAAAAGGCAAGAGCUUCCACAAUGAAGGCAAACCUACAACUGCUCAAACUUGGGAAUCCAGGAUGAAUGUUCAAACUUCCUCACAGCAAUGCCCAUCAGGCUGAGAACUGCCAAGAGGCCACUGUUCCUGCACUGAAUUCUCCAGAAUCAUGGCUUCUAACAACACUCUGCCAUCAAAUGUGGAACUCAAAACCCAGCUGUGCGCAUUUCGCACUAAAAAGUACUCUACCUCUAGGUCACUAAGCAAAAAACUACCUUGCCAUCAGAACUCAGGUCCUGAUACACUGAAAUCUCAGACUUGAACGUAAGGUCCAUGAAGACUGGGUCUCUGUUCUGUACUGUAUCCCCAGCAACUAUAAAAAUCCCCUGGCAAAACAAGUAGUGAAUAAAUAUUAUACUGUACAAAUAAACAGAGUA